UACAGAGGGGGCAAGCGUUAUUCGGAAUUAUUGGGCGUAAAGCGCGCGCAGGCGGUGCGGUAAGUCUGUCGUGAAAUCUCCCGGCUCAACUGGGAGGGUGCGGUGGAGACUGCCGGACUGGAGGCACUCAGAGGCCGGUGGAAUUCCCGGUGUAGUGGUGAAAUGCGUAGAGAUCGGGAGGAACACCAGUGGCGAAGGCGGCCGGCUGGGGGUGACCUGACGCUGAGGCGCGAAAGCGUGGGGAGCGAACCGG
rnacentral:rRNA from 1 species